GCCAAAUCACGUUGAAACAUUGAUUCCCGUACGAUCACCGAAAUUAAGCAACGUCGAGUCGGGUCAGUAGUUACAUGGGUGACUGCUUUGGAAUAACAGGUGCUGUAA